GGCACCGUGGCUUAGUUCGUUAAAAGGCUUGCAUUCUAAACAGGAGAUCGUAAGUUCGAAUCUCGCCAGUGCCU
rnacentral:tRNA from 1 species